AGAUUAUGAUAUAAUAUACUUAGUUCUGUAUGUUGAGUCAUAUAGAAAUAAAAUAUUAAUAUUAUCUAU
rnacentral:snoRNA from 1 species